AACGAACGCUGGCGGCAGGCUUAACACAUGCAAGUCGAGCGCCCCGCCAGGGGAGCGGCAGACGGGUGAGUAACGCGUGGGAACGUACCUUUUGGUUCGGAACAACUCCGGGAAACUGGAGCUAAUACCGGAUAAGCCCUAACGGGGAAAGAUUUAUCGCCGAAAGAUCGGCCCGCGUCUGAUUAGCUAGUUGGUGAGUUAACGGCUCACCGAGGCGACGAUAAGUAGCUGGUCUGAGAGGAUGAUCAGCCACACUGGGACUGAGACACGGCCCAGACUCCUACGGGAGGCAGCAGUGGGGAAUAUUGGACAAUGGGCGCAAGCCUGAUCCAGCCAUGCCGCGUGAGUGAUGAAGGCCUUAGGGUUGUAAAGCUCUUUUGUCCGGGAAGAUAAUGACUGUACCGGAAGAAUAAGCCCCGGCUAACUUCGUG
rnacentral:rRNA from 1 species